GCCCCGGUGGUGAAACUGGUAGACACAGCGGACUUAAAAUCCGCCGCCUCUAACCGGGCGUACCGGUUCGAUUCCGGUCCGGGGCACCA
rnacentral:tRNA from 1 species